rnacentral:rRNA from 1 species
GAUGAACGCUGGCGGCGUGCCUAAUACAUGCAAGUCGAGCGAACAGAUGAGGAGCUUGCUCCUCUGACGUUAGCGGCGGACGGGUGAGUAACACGUGGAUAACCUACCUAUAAGACUGGGAUAACUUCGGGAAACCGGAGCUAAUACCGGAUAAUAUAUUGAACCGCAUGGUUCAAUAGUGAAAGACGGUUUUGCUGUCACUUAUAGAUGGAUCCGCGCCGCAUUAGCUAGUUGGUAAGGUAACGGCUUACCAAGGCAACUAUGCGUAGCCGACCUGAGAGGGUGAUCGGCCACACUGGAACUGAGACACGGUCCAGACGCCUACGGGAGGCAGCAGUAGGGAAUCUUCCGCAAAGGGCGAAAGCCUGACGGAGCAACGCCGCGUGAGUGAUGAAGGUCUUCGGAUCGUAAAACUCUGUUAUUAGGGAAGAACAAAUGUGUAAGUAACUAUGCACGUCUUGACGGUACCUAAUCAGAAAGCCACGGCUAACUACGUG